CUGUAAGCGGGAAAAAGUCACCCGGUCUUGGUUUUUUCGAUCCGACAGCCGCAGUUAAAACCGCUGUAUCCCCGAAACGAACCAUUGCCGCUCCGCUCGCUUGUUUAGCCAGCUGGCCUACUUCAAUUGCAAGCGUUUUGCCCGCAAGCUCAGUCGUGAAGACUUGUUUUUCAGACAUAUUUUCACUUCUCCUUUUUAUUCGGAGCGUAGAACUUUACCAUGCAUAGAUUCUUUCAUGCACACUUCUUUUUUGAAGCACACAUGAAUCCAAAAACCUGCCAGAUGACGUAUCUUCUAGCACGUUUUUGGAUUCAUG
rnacentral:antisense_RNA from 1 species